CAGCAGCCGCGGUAAUACGUAGGUGGCAAGCGUUGUCCGGAAUUAUUGGGCGUAAAGGGCUCGCAGGCGGUUUCUUAAGUCUGAUGUGAAAGCCCCCGGCUCAACCGGGGAGGGUCAUUGGAAACUGGGAAACUUGAGUGCAGAAGAGGAGAGUGGAAUUCCACGUGUAGCGGUGAAAUGCGUAGAGAUGUGGAGGAACACCAGUGGCGAAGGCGACUCUCUGGUCUGUAACUGACGCUGAGGAGCGAAAGCGUGGGGAGCGAACAGGAUUAGAUACCCCAGUAGUCCCUGUCUCUUAUAC
rnacentral:rRNA from 1 species